UACGUAGGGUGCGAGCGUUGUCCGGAAUUACUGGGCGUAAAGAGCUCGUAGGUGGUUUGUCGCGUUGUCCGUGAAAACUCACAACUCAAUUGUGGGCGUGCGGGCGAUACGGGCAGACUGGAGUGACUGCAGGGGAGACUGAAUUCCUGGUGUAGCGGUGGAAUGCGCAGAUAUCAGGAGGAACACCGGUGGCGAAGGCGGG
rnacentral:rRNA from 1 species